GAUGAGCGCUGGCGGCGUGCCUAAUACAUGCAAGUCGAGCGAACGGACGAGAAGCUUGCUUCUCUGAUGUUAGCGGCGGACGGGUGAGUAACACGUGGAUAACCUACCUAUAAGACUGGGAUAACUUCGGGAAACCGGAGCUAAUACCGGAUAAUAUUUUGAACCGCAUGGUUCAAAAGUGAAAGACGGUCUUGCUGUCACUUAUAGAUGGAUCCGCGCUGCAUUAGCUAGUUGGUAAGGUAACGGCUUACCAAGGCAACGAUGCAUAGCCGACCUGAGAGGGGGAUCGGCCACACGAGAGGGGAGACACGGUCCAGACUCCUGCGGGAGGCAGCAGUAGGGAAUCGUCCGCAGAGGGCGAAAGCCUGACGGAGCAGCGCCGCGUGAGUGAUGAAGGUCUUCGGAGCGUAAUACUCUGUUAUUAGGGAAGAACAUAUGUGUAAGUAGCUGUGCCCAUCUUGACGGUACCUAAACAGAAAGCCACGGCUAACUACGUG
rnacentral:rRNA from 1 species